GUCUCUCUAACUUAAAGACAGCCACGUUUAGAGGAUCUCUGGCGGCCCUUCAAGCAGCUGAUUUCAGAAACUGGUGGCUAUGCUGGGUGACAUCGUGGAGAAGACCGCCUGUUGCUUUGUACAGUCCUUGUGAUCUUCGGUGUUCCAGGGAUCUUGACCAACACAGGCAAGUCUUCAUUCCAUGGUUUGGAUGGAAAGGCUUUCGUGUUCUCCAAGCUUUCUGCUAACUCCCACGUUCUCCUGAAGCCCAACCUAGAUCAAGGCUUGCGACAGUUGACCCUUUGUCUCCGCUUCUUCACCGACUUGACCCACGGCUUCUGCCUCUUCUCUGCUGCUUUC